GCAGGUAUCGUAUAAUGGUUAUUAUGCCGCCUUCCCAAGGCGGAGAUGCGGGUUCGAUUCCCGUUACUUGCUCCA
rnacentral:tRNA from 1 species